rnacentral:rRNA from 1 species
UACGUAGGGUGCGAGCGUUAAUCGGAAUUACUGGGCGUAAAGCGUGCGCAGGCGGUUUUGUAAGCCAGAUGUGAAAUCCCCGGGCUUAACCUGGGAAUGGCAUUUGGGACUGCAAGGCCUGAGUGCGGCAGAGGAGACUGGAAUUCCUGGUGUAGCAGUGGAAAUGCGUAGAUAUCAGGAGGAACACCGAUGGCGAAGGCAGGUCUCUGGGCUGACACUGACGCUCAUGCACGAAAGCGUGGGGAGCAAACAGGAUUAGAAGUACCCUGAG